rnacentral:misc_RNA from 1 species
AGAAAUUGCUUGGACUCAACAAUAGGCCAAAAACUAUACGUAUGAGUAUCACCAGAUUUGUUUGAUUCUUCAAAUAGCUACAUACAGGAUCUUCAUACUUACCAACACAAAUAUUCAAAUAUAGGGCAACGAGAUUUUACUGAUUAGAGCCAAAAUGCGCCAGGAAACAACAGUUACAGUGAAACAUACUAGUGAAAUCCCACAGCCUAGGAUGAACUGUACAACUGUUAGCAGCAGUAAAUCCUUCACAAAUGUUCUUAGGUGUUAUUUCUGCAAUAUAUACUGAUACCUAAUCGAAACUAGCUCCUCCCAAUACCACUCAAGUUCUCCAUUCCACCA